rnacentral:rRNA from 1 species
AUUGAACGCUGGCGGCAGGCCUAACACAUGCAAGUCGAGCGAGCGGCGGACGGGUGAGUAAUGUAUGGGAAACUGCCUGAUGGAGGGGGAUAACUACUGGAAACGGUAGCUAAUACCGCAUACCAUCAGAUGUACCCAGAUGGGAUUAGCUAGUAGGUGGGGUAACGGCUCACCUAGGCGACGAUCCCUAGCUGGUCUGAGAGGAUGACCCUCCACACUGGAACUGAGACACGGUCCAGACUCCUACGGGAGGCAGCAGUGGGGAAUAUUGCACAAUGGGCGAAAGCCUGAUGCAGCCAUGCCGCGUGUGUGAAGAAGGCCUUCGGGUUGUAAAGCACUUUCAGCGGGGAGGCGUUACCAGCAGAAGAAGCACCGGCUAACUCCGUGCCAGCAGCCGCGGUAAUUC